UGGUAGGAAAAAACCACAGGGGAUUGCCUCAGUAACGGCGAGUGAAGCGGCAACAGCUCAAAUUUGAAAGCCGGCUCCAGCCUGCGUUGUAAUUUGCAGAGGAUGCUUCGGGCGCGGCGCUGGUCUAAGUUCUUUGGAACAAGACGUCAUAGAGGGUGAGAAUCCCGUAUGUGACUGGCCGCCUGUGCCUGUGUGAAGCUCCUUCGACGAGUCGAGUUGUUUGGGAAUGCAGCUCUAAUUGGGUGGUGUACUUCAUCUAAAGCUAAAUAUUGGCCAAAGACCGAUAGCGCACAAGUAGAGUGAUCGAAAGAUGAAAAGCACUUUGGAAAGAGAGUUAAAUAGUACGUGAAAUUGUUGAAAGGGAAGCGCUUGCAAUCAGAUCUGCGCGGCGUCGAUCAGCCGAGGUUCUCCUCGGUGCACUCGGCGCUGCUCAAGUCAGCAUCAGCUUCGGCGGCUGGAUAAAGACCCGGGGAACGUGAGUUGUCUCGGCAACUGUUAUAGCCUCGGGUGUCAUGCAGCCUGCUGGGACUGAGGACCGCGCUUCGGCAAGGAUGCUGACGUAAUGGUUGUAAGCGACCCGUCUUGAAACACGGACCAAGGAGUCUAACAUCUAUGCGAGUGUUUGGGUGUCAAACCCAUCCGCGUAAUGAAAGUGAAUGGAGGUGAGAACUCUUCAGAGUGCAUCAUCGACCGAUCUUGAUGUCUUCGGAUGGAUUUGAGUAAGAGCAUAGCUGUUGGGACCCGAAAGGUUAGUGCUGCCCCCUCCCCCCUCUUUUUAAUCAAAUUUUAAUACUAACGGUUGGAUUCUAGAUGGUGAACUAUGCCUGAAUAGGGUGAAGCCAGAGGAAACUCUGGUGGAGGCUCGCAGCGGUUCUGACGUGCAAAUCGAUCGACAAAUUUGGGUAUAGGGCCGAAAGACUAAUCGAACCCCUCUAGACAG
rnacentral:rRNA from 1 species